UGGAUCCAGACUUUGAUUAUGGCUCAGGAUGAACGCUAGCUACAGGCUUAACACAUGCAAGUCGAGGGGCAGCAUGAACUUAGCUUGCUAAGUUUGAUGGCGACCGGCGCACGGGUGAGUAACACGUAUCCAACCUGCCGAUGACUCGGGGAUAGCCUUUCGAAAGAAAGAUUAAUACCCGAUGGCAUAGUUCUUCCGCAUGGUAGAACUAUUAAAGAAUUUCGGUCAUCGAUGGGGAUGCGUUCCAUUAGGUUGUUGGCGGGGUAACGGCCCACCAAGCCUUCGAUGGAUAGGGGUUCUGAGAGGAAGGUCCCCCACAUUGGAACUGAGACACGGUCCAAACUCCUACGGGAGGCAGCAGUGAGGAAUAUUGGUCAAUGGACGAGAGUCUGAACCAGCCAAGUAGCGUGAAGGAUGACUGCCCUAUGGGUUGUAAACUUCUUUUAUACGGGAAUAAAGUGAGGCACGUGUGCCUUUUUGUAUGUACCGUAUGAAUAAGGAUCGGCUAACUCCGUGCCAGCAGCCGCGGUAAUACGGAGGAUCCGAGCGUUAUCCGGAUUUAUUGGGUUUAAAGGGAGCGUAGGCGGACGCUUAAGUCAGUUGUGAAAGUUUGCGGCUCAACCGUAAAAUUGCAGUUGAUACUGGGUGUCUUGAGUACAGUAGAGGCAGGCGGAAUUCGUGGUGUAGCGGUGAAAUGCUUAGAUAUCACGAAGAACUCCGAUUGCGAAGGCAGCCUGCUGGACUGUAACUGACGCUGAUGCUCGAAAGUGUGGGUAUCAAACAGGAUUAGAUACCCUGGUAGUCCACACAGUAAACGAUGAAUACUUGCUGUUUGCGAUAUACAGUAAGCGGCCAAGCGAAAGCGUUAAGUAUUCCACCUGGGGAGUACGCCGGCAACGGUGCAACUCAAAUGAAUUGACGGA
rnacentral:rRNA from 1 species